rnacentral:rRNA from 1 species
UACGAAGGAUGCAAGCGUUAUCCGGAUUUAUUGGGUUUAAAGGGCGCGUAGGCGGUUCGUACAGUCAGACGUGAAAUUCCUGGGCUCAACCUGGGGGCUGCGUUUGAUACGUGCGGACUUGAGUGCGGAAGAGGGUCGUGGAAUUCCCAGUGUAGAGGUGAAAUUCGUAGAUAUUGGGAAGAACACCGGUGGCGAAGGCGGCGACCUGGUCCGAUACUGACGCUGAGGCGCGAAAGCGUGGGGAGCAAACAGG